rnacentral:rRNA from 1 species
UACGUAGGAUGCACGAGGUGUCCGGAUUUAUUGGGUUUAUAGGGUGCGUAGGCGGCUCAUUAAGUUAGAGGUGCAAACGUUCGGCUUAACCGGAUACCCGCCAUUGAUACUGAUAGACUUGAGUGCGACAGAGGGUGUUGGAAUGUGUGGUGUAGCGGUGAAAUGCUUAGAUAUCACGCAGAACACCAAUUGCGAAGGCAGAUGCCUAUGUCGUAACUGACGCUGAGGCACGAAAGCGUGGGGAGCAAACAGG